UACGGAGGGUCCAAGCGUUAUCCGGAUUUAUUGGGUUUAAAGGGUGCGCAGGCGGAACUUUAAGUCAGUGGUGAAAUCUUGCCGCUUAACGGUAAAUUGCCAUUGAUACUGAAGUUCUUGAAUAUGGUUGAGGUAGGCGGAAUGUGUUGUGUAGCGGUGAAAUGCAUAGAUAUGACACAGAACGCCAAUUGCGAAGGCAGCUUACUAAGCCAUGAUUGACGCUGAGGCACGAAAGCGUGGGGAGCGAACAGG
rnacentral:rRNA from 1 species